CCUACGGGAGGCUGCAGUGAGGAAUAUUGGUCAAUGGACGAGAGUCUGAACCAGCCAAGUAGCGUGAAGGAUGACUGCCCUAUGGGUUGUAAACUUCUUUUAUAUGGGAAUAAAAUGUUCCACGUGUGGGAUUUUGUAUGUACCAUAUGAAUAAGGCUCGGCUAACUCCGUGCCAGCAGCCGCGGUAAUACGGAGGAUCCGAGCGUUAUCCGGAUUUAUUGGGUGUAAAGGGAGCGUAGGUGGAUUGUUAAGUCAGUUGUGAAAGUUUGCGGCUCAACCGUAAAAUUGCAGUUGAAACUGGAAGUCUUGAGUACAGUAGAGGUGGGCGGAAUUCGUGGUGUAGCGGUGAAAUGCUUAGAUAUCACGAAGAACUCCGAUUGCGAAGGCAGCUCACUGGACUGCAACUGACACUGAGGCUCGAAAGUGUGGGUAUCAAACAGGAUUAGAUACCCGGGUAGUC
rnacentral:rRNA from 1 species